ACKGCUCAGUAACACGUGGAUAACCUGACCUAGGGUGGAGGAUAACCCCGGGAAACUGGGGAUAAUACUCCAUAGGCUACGGAAGCUGGAAUGCUCUGUAACCCAGAGCUCCGGCGCCCUAGGAUGGGUCUGCGGCCGAUUAGGUUGUUGUUGGGGUAACGGCCCAACAAGCCGAUCAUCGGUACGGGUUGUGGGAGCAAGAGCCCGGAGAUGGAUUCUGAGACAUGAAUCCAGGCCCUACGGGGCGCAGCAGGCGCGAAAACUUUACAAUGCGGGAAACCGUGAUAAGGGGACCCCGAGUGCCUGUACACGCAGGCUGUUCAGGUGUUUAAAACGCAUCUGGAGAAAGGGCCGGGCAAGACCGGUGCCAGCCGCCGCGGUAAUACCGGCGGCUCGAGUGGUGGCCGAUAUUAUUGAGUCUAAAGGGUCCGUAGCCGGCUUUGCAAGUCCCCCGGGAAAUCCAGCGGCUUAACCGUUGGGCUUUCGUGGGAUACUACAUUGCUUGGGACUGGGAGAGGUAGGAGGUACUCGGGGGGUAGGGGUGAAAUCCUGUAAUCCUCCGGGGACCACCGGUGGCGAAGGCGUCCUACCAGAACAGGUCCGACGGUGAGGGACGAAAGCUAGGGGCACGAACCGGAUUAGAUACCCGGGUAGUCCUAGCCGUAAACGAUGCCCGCUAGGUGUCACGAUGGUCGUGAAUCAUCGUGGUGCCGUAGGGAAGCCGCGAAGCGGGCCACUUGGGAAGUACGACCGCAAGGUUGAAACUUAAAGGAAUUGGCGGGGGAGCAC
rnacentral:rRNA from 1 species